CAGGAAGUGGGAAGGAAAGCCACUGCCAGCAACUGCACCUGGUGAGGAGCUCUGCCACCUCUGGCUGUGUGAUCUGGUUGCAGGUAUUGGGUACAGCCGGGCGGAAAGGUGACUAAGAAGACACCAUCAUAGCUAUUUGUCACCAAGUCCGGCGAGACAGGAAGCGGUCCCUCGGGAGUCUUCCCCUGAGCUGGAAUGCUGGAUGUAUAUUCCCCCUUCUCCUUCCCUCCCAGAGGGCUGGACCACUGGACAUCCUUCACAUGCUGAGCACUACCAGCUGAGAGCUUUCAGGAAAGCAUGCUAGAGCUAUUCCCAGGUAUGUAUAUGUGUUAUCUUUGCCUUUGGCUCUUAGCUCAGCUCCUGAGAGUUCUGUGAGGUAUGUAUGUGUUGAGGACUCUGAGUGUGGGCUGCAGGCCCUGGAUCCCAGAGCUCACACACUGCAGAAAGUGAUGGAUUCUGUCAAGGUCAGGGUUUCUGUUGAAGAGACGGUGGGCCCUGACGCCUGGGAUGCUUCCCCAUCACGGCCACUAGGGGGAGCCUAAGACCUUGUUCUCAGCAGGUUGCUCUACAAGUGGCACCCAGAGGGCAGGUGGGAUGUCAAGAGGGUCCCAAGUAAUGAUGCAUUUCAGACUUCUUAAUUGAAAUCUUACACGAGGUCCUAUGUUCCAGGGGCAAUUAGUGGAGAAAUUUUGGGAAGGGAAAGGGAAGAAGCAUAGAGGGCAGAUCUGUCUACUUGUAUAUAGAUGUCUGCUGAGGUACGCGCGCACGCACGCACGUACACACACACAUACGUACAAGAUGGCCUUGGCACUGGGCUGGGGGGAAGCAACAGCCCCGACUCAAUAAGGGGAGUGGAGCUCACUGUGAUGCUUGAGGAAACCAGAGACACAAGAUGAGAGAUGAGUGUUUGCGUCUGCAUGGCCGUCUUCGUGAGCUCCGGCCCUCUGCUGAGGAGGAGGCCUGGCUGCAGGGCCUGCACCUCCAGCCGCUGACGUCUAACGCAAGGCUGGCUGACUGCCAUCUGUCCUUGCAUCACAAAACAUAGCGUCCCCACUGAGUCUCACCAAUGUGGGAGGAAACAUGUAAUGCAACAUUAAGUGAACA